UUUUCUUCUUGUGACCUGACUUUCUACUAUGGAUUUGAGGUCUACUAGUAUACAAGCAGGAAGUGCCAAAAGAAAUACGACAAUCCACAGGCCUCCAAGCACAACUAUUACUGUCCGUCUACGAGUGCAGGCAUUCAAGUAUAUUAUAAAGAAAAUCGUCAGACACAUCAGACAACCGUCUGCACAAGCCAGGUUGAGGAUGAGCAGGGUGGUGACGGAGCGUUUGCG